rnacentral:rRNA from 1 species
GGAUUAGAUACCCUGGUAGUCCGCACGGUAAACGAUGGAUGCCCGCUGUUUGUCCGAAUGGAUAAGCGGCCAAGCGAAAGCGUUAAGCAUCCCACCUGGGGAGUACGCCGGCAACGGUGAAACUCAAAGGAAUUGACGGGGGCCCGCACAAGCGGAGGAACAUGUGGUUUAAUUCGAUGAUACGCGAGGAACCUUACCCGGGCUUGAACUGCCGGCGAACGAUACAGAGAUGUUGAGGCCCUUCGGGGCGCCGGUGGAGGUGCUGCAUGGUUGUCGUCAGCUCGUGCCG